CCUACGGGGAGCAGCAGUGAGGAAUAUUGGUCAAUGGGAGGAAUCCUGAACCAGCCAUGCCGCGUGCAGGACGACGGCUCUACGAGUUGUAAACUGCUUUUGUACCGGGGUAAAACGCUCUACGUGUAGGGUUUUGCAUGUAUCCUACGAAUAAGCAUCGGCUAACUCCGUGCCAGCAGCCGCGGUAAUACGGAGGAUUCGAGCGUUAUCCGGAUUUAUUGGGUUUAAAGGGUGCGUAGGCUGUCGGAUAAGUUAGAGGUCAAAUGUCGGGGCUUAAACCCUUGCCUGCCGCUGAUACUGUUCGACUAGAGAGCGGGUGCAGCAGGCGGAAUGAGUGGUGUAGCGGUGAAAUGCUUAGAUAUUACGCAGAACACCGAUUGCGCAGGCAGCUUGCUAAUCCGCAUCUGACGCUGAUGCACGAAAGCGUGGGUAGCGAACAGGAUUAGAUACCCUGGUAGUC
rnacentral:rRNA from 1 species